AAGUCGAGGGGCAGCAUGGUCUUAGCUUGCUAAGGCCGAUGGCGACCGGCGCACGGGUGAGUAACACGUAUCCAACCUGCCGUCUACUCUUGGACAGCCUUCUGAAAGGAAGAUUAAUACAAGAUGGCAUCAUGAGUCCGCAUGUUCACAUGAUUAAAGGUAUUCCGGUAGACGAUGGGGAUGCGUUCCAUUAGAUAGUAGGCGGGGUAACGGCCCACCUAGUCUUCGAUGGAUAGGGGUUCUGAGAGGAAGGUCCCCCACAUUGGAACUGAGACACGGUCCAAACUCCUACGGGAGGCAGCAGUGAGGAAUAUUGGUCAAUGGGCGAGAGCCUGAACCAGCCAAGUAGCGUGGAGGAUGACUGCCCUAUGGGUUGUAAACUUCUUUUAUAAAGGAAUAAAGUCGGGUAUGCAUACCCGUUUGCAUGUACUUUAUGAAUAAGGAUCGGCUAACUCCGUGCCAGCAGCCGCGGUAAUACGGAGGAUCCGAGCGUUAUCCGGAUUUAUUGGGUUUAAAGGGAGCGUAGAUGGAUGUUUAAGUCAGUUGUGAAAGUUUGCGGCUCAACCGUAAAAUUGCAGUUGAUACUGGAUAUCUUGAGUGCAGUUGAGGCAGGCGGAAUUCGUGGUGUAGCGGUGAAAUGCUUAGAUAUCACGAAGAACUCCGAUUGCGAAGGCAGCCUGCUAAGCUGCAACUGACAUUGAGGCU
rnacentral:rRNA from 1 species